AACACGUGAGUAACCUGCCCUUGACUCUGGGAUAAGCACUGGAAACGGUGUCUAAUACCGGAUACGAACCUCAGCCGCAUGGCUAGGGGUUGGAAAGAAUUUUGGUCAAGGAUGGACUCGCGGCCUAUCAGCUAGUUGGUGAGGUAACGGCCCACCAAGGCGACGACGGGUAGCCGGCCUGAGAGGGUGACCGGCCACACUGGGACUGAGACACGGCCCAGACUCCUACGGGAGGCAGCAGUGGGGAAUAUUGCACAAUGGGCGAAAGCCUGAUGCAGCAACGCCGCGUGAGGGACGACGGCCUUCGGGUUGUAAACCUCUUUUAGUAGGGAAGAAGCGAAAGUGACGGUACCUGCAGAAAAAGCACCGGCUAACUACGUGCCAGCAGCCGCGGUAAUACGUAGGGUGCAAGCGUUGUCCGGAAUUAUUGGGCGUAAAGAGCUCGUAGGCGGUUUGUCGCGUCUGCUGUGAAAACCCGAGGCUCAACCUCGGGCCUGCAGUGGGUACGGGCAGACUAGAGUGCGGUAGGGGAGAUUGGAAUUCCUGGUGUAGCGGUGGAAUGCGCAGAUAUCAGGAGGAACACCGAUGGCGAAGGCAGAUCUCUGGGCCGUAACUGACGCUGAGGAGCGAAAGCAUGGGGAGCGAACAGGAUUAGAUACCCUGGUAGUCCAUGCCGUAAACGUUGGGAACUAGAUGUAGG
rnacentral:rRNA from 1 species